AUUUAAAGUGGUACGCGAGCUGGGUUUAGAACGUCGUGAGACAGUUCGGUCCCUAUCUGCCGUGGACGUUUGAGAUUUGAGAGGGGCUGCUCCUAGUACGAGAGGACCGGAGUGGACGAACCUCUGGUGUUCCGGUUGUCACGCCAGUGGCAUUGCCGGGUAGCUAUGUUCGGAAGAGAUAACCGCUGAAAGCAUCUAAGCGGGAAACUUGCCUCAAGAUGAGAUCUCACUGGGAUCUUGAAUCCCCUGAAGGGCCGUCGAAGACUACGACGUUGAUAGGUUGGGUGUGUAAGCGCUGUGAGGCGUUGAGCUAACCAAUACUAAUUGCCCGUGAGGCUUGACCAUAUAACACCCAAGCAAUU
rnacentral:rRNA from 1 species